UGGCGGAGGCUACUGCUAUUGGGAUUCGACUAAGCCAUGCGAGUCAAGGUGUCUUCGGAUGCCGGCGUACGGCUCAGUAGCACGUAGGUAACCUACCCUCAGGACUGAGAUAACCCCGGGAAACUGGGGCUAAUAUUAGAUAGAUAAAAGGUACUGGAAUGUUCUUUUAUCCAAAGCUUUUGCGCCUGAGGAUGGGCCUGCGUCCGAUUAGGUUGUUGGUGGGGUAAUGGCCCACCAAGCCUGCGAUCGGUACGGGCAGUGAGAGCUGAAGCCCGGAGUUGGGGACUGAGACAAGGCCCCAGGCCCUACGGGGCGCAGCAGGCGCGAAACCUCUGCAAUGCGGGAAACCGUGACAGGGGGAUCCCAAGUGCUCAUGCAUUGCAUGGGCUGUUCUUUGGUCUAAGUAACCAGAGGAGUAAGGGCUGGGCAAGACCGGUGCCAGCCGCCGCGGUAAUACCGGCAGCUCAAGUGGUAGCCGCGAUUAUUGGGCCUAAAGCGUUCGUAGCCGGAUAAGUAAGUCUUUGGUUAAAUCCUGCAACUCAACUGUGGGAAAUCUAGGGAUACUGCUUGUCUUGAGACCGGGAGAGGUUAGAGGUACUCCUAGGGUAGGGGUGAAAUCCUGUAAUCCUAGGGGGACCACCUGUGGCGAAGGCGUCUAACUGGAACGGGUCUGACGGUGAGGGACGAAACCUAGGGGAGCGAGCCGGAUUAGAUACCCGGGUAGUCCUAGGCGUAAAUGAUGCGAGUUAAGUGUGGGGGCAUCUACGAGAUGGCCCUGUGCUGUAGGGUAGCCGUUAAACUCGCCGCCUGGGGAGUACGGUCGCAAGGCUGAAACUUAA
rnacentral:rRNA from 1 species